GAACAUGGCUGAAUGGUUGAUAUCCCGAUUUUGUAAAUGGUAUAGUUCU
rnacentral:tRNA from 1 species